UUUUUAUUUUAUUUUUAUUUUAUAUUUUAUUUUAUUUUAUUUUAUUUAUUUUAAUUUUUCCUCUGGUCUUUUGGAGGCACAAGCAGAAGGAGGCACAGCACGGGGAUGUCGGCCCCCCCAGGAGGCUGCCGCCAAGGGUUCCGGCACCCCGGGCCUCUGCACGGUAUCUUGGCUGCUCUGCAAACACCUCUGGUCUCUGCAAGAGGGAUGCGGGAGAGAAGGCAGUCGGAGGCGCACCGGGGGAGCUGGGAGCUGGGGUUCGCUACCUGAGCCCCCACCUACUGCCCUCCCCGAGGCCCCGUCUGGAUCCUCCCGCAGUUGCUCUGGCUGCCUCCUCAAGGGCUCUGAAAACCGCCCUUCGGGACUGGUAUGCUGCCUGGGAUCAAGGGGAGGGAAGGAACACAGCGUCAAAACUGAGGCCAACGCGGCUGCGGUGGGGCCAGGACGUGGGGCCAGGACCUGGGUCUGGAACCCCUGGGCGGGCCUGGGGCGAGGUGAGGGGAAGCUGUGCGGGACCUCGUUUUCUGGCUUCUCAAGAGAUUCUCCAGGACACGACUAUCGAACCUCUCUCCGGAGUCGCUAACACCGAGGUUUGGGAUAUGCAGAGCAUCUGCCUCUGGAUUUAUAAAUUCUGAGCCUUGGGGCACCCGCGGGGCUCAGGGGUUGAGCAUCUGCCUUCGGCUCGGGUCGUGACCCCGGGGUCCUGGGAUCGAGUGUGGCACCGAGAUCCCCGCCGGGAGCCUGCUUCUCCCUCUGCCUGGGUCUCUGCCCCUCUCAUGAACAAAUAAAUAAAAUAUUUUAAAAAGAUAAAUAAAUCCAGAGCCUCAUCAGGCGUGCAUUAACCCCUUCUGCUGUCGUCAGUGCUGCAGCCACAGGGCUCAGGACCCUGGGACACGAGGCAGCAGUGGGGGACCGCCGCGCUACCCCCCGCCCCACGGACGUUGGGCCUGGCCACACGGCUCGUUGAGGCCAUGGAGCGUGGGCAGGACUGGCAGGGCGCACGACGCCCCCGGUCCUUGGGGAGUUUCUGGCCAGCGCAUCCACUGUUCCCCUCCCCCGGGCACGUGGGGCACACGGCCUCUGACCGGCAGCCUGAAGCAGAGCGCUGGGGACCCCCGGGCCCCGGAGGGAAGCCCAAGUGCUUGCUGCUUUAGGCCGCCCCCGUGUUUCUUCGGCACCCGUGGCUCGUGCGAACUUGCCCGCACCUCCUCAAAUCGGGUCCCUCUGCAGGUGUAGCGCUCCACGCGUGUUACAGAGCAGCUGUGACAAGGUGCUCCACACUUGCCCUUGUCCGAGGCUCCCUCCUGAGGUCAUGGGAAGACACAAAGCUGUUGUGCUUUCGUAAACAUCGAGGUAUAACCGGACACACGUUUUAUCAGUUUCAGGUGCACAUCACGGUGAUUUGACGUUCGCCUCCGUUAUGAUCUCAUCUGUCCCCUCACAGUCAGACUUUGUAGAUAGAAGGUGCAAGACAAUGAGAAGCAGACGCAUAUUUAAGUGGCCACAGCCGUGGGGUGGGGGCACUCCUACAGAGACAAGGGCCAAGGGGAGCUCAUGGUGGUGUCACUCUGCUCCCCCCGGACGGGGGUCUGCACCUGUUGGGCCGCGGGAGCCUCUUCUGCACAGGACUCGGUCGCAUCCUCCCGUCCUCGGGCAUAGGCAGCAGUAGGAGGAGAGCAGGGGCCAGGUGCUCGCUUCCUUGGGGCUGCCGGCCAGUCACCCCGGUCACCCCGCGGCUGGCUGCGUCCUCGCCAGCAGCACAGAGGGGCUCUCCGGGGCCCAACAGCCGCCCUCCCGGGGGGGCAGAUGCAGCCAGCUGGGGUGCCUCUCCUUGGUUUCCAGAACUCCACCCCACAACUUUGCAGCAGGACUCACGAUUCCCCCACGUGAGCAGGGGACAGGCUGUCCUGCCAGAAAGGCAGGGGGCACGUAGCAGUCCCACGGACACCUGCUUCCAGGACGGCUUGUUCGGAGGGAGCCUGGCCGGCUCAGUCGGUGGAGCGUGCCACUUUGGAUCUCGGGGGUUGUGAAUUCAAGCCCCACGUCGGGGUGCGGUGAUUACUUUAAAAAGCAAAAUAAGAAGAAAUGAAAGCAAAAUGGGACUUCGGAAAGCUUUGCUUAUGGAAGUACAAUCCUUGGCCAUCCAGGAAAAAACCAGAAAUUCGAUUGCCCUCACUGGGUGUUUACCUGCCACGCGCCGCCCACCGGCUUACUCAGUCCCCAAGACACAUGCUGCCACAAGCAGCGUGCAAUCGCUGCACAAACACGGGCAUCAGCCCUAACUCCCUGCAGGUUCUGGAGAGCCUGGGUUUCCCAGCUCUUUAAGGACGCCGGGAGUCCCUUUCCUGCACCCCGUGUGGCUUCCUGGGGCACAAAGGAAGGGAAGCAGCCUUAAGUGAAGGAAACCACGCGGGCAGGUGCAACAGCAGACGGAAGAGAGAGACCCUUGGGGCCGAAACCACGGAGUGACACGAGCGCCCGAAGUUCUGGGGAGGGCGACUCGCGGAGGCAGUACUGCCAACGGACUGGAUGCACAAUGUGGUGCUGAGCUGAGCCAGCGGCUUUUAAGCUACUACUGAGGGGCGCCUGGGCGGCUCGGUCGGUGAAGCGUCGGCCUUCAGCUCAGGUCAGACUCAGGGCCCUGCGAUCGAGC
rnacentral:lncRNA from 1 species